rnacentral:lncRNA from 1 species
UUGUUCCCAGCACAUUACUCUCCAUUUCACCUAAACUUGUGAACUAGUCCUUACAUCUGACAGGAACCUGCAUCUUGCGUAUUGAACUGAAAUGGACUUAACAGCUUCUUUCCACAGGCCUCCUUCGGUGGUAGCUGUCCCUUGUAUGGUGCGGUUGCACUCAAUGGCACCUAUCUGGCCUUGUCACAUCCCUCAGCCUCUUCCCUCUGCUACUUUGUGGCAGGAGCUUCAGGCAUCCUGGCGCUCUACUGCCUUCUCCUCCUCUUCUUCUGGGUCUACAGCAGCUGCAUCGAGGACUCCCAGAGGUGAUUGCCCUACUGAUAAUGAGAGGCCUAGGUGAAUGAGUCCCACCUCAGCCAUAAAACUUGUUUUCUCUUCCUCAGAGGUUCUAUAGGGCUCCGAAUUGCUUUGGUCAUCUCAGCUAUAGCCAUCUUCCUGAUCUUAGUGUCUGCCUGUAUACUUCGAUUUGGCACCAAUUCUUUCUGCAAUUCCAUCAUCUCCUUGAAUCAUACAAUUAGCUGCUCUGAAGCCCAGAAAAUCUCAUGGAAACCUCCAGGAACUGCUGUGCAGUUUUACUCCAACCUACACAAUGCUGAAGUGAGACAAAGGGAUAUGUUAAGAUUAAGCAACUGUAGUUUGAGUGUUCACCAUGUAAUAUGUGCUUGGGUGUACUUCAGUCACAAGCUCAAAGUAGCUAUGGGACUUGUCACCUUAAUCUGAUCAGACAAUGUUGUGUGGGUAGGCCUGGAUUGGAGAUGGCUUCCCUCCUCAUACUCCUGUUCUCUCUCACAGACCUCUUCUUGGGUGAAUCUGAUAUUGUGGUGUCUGGCCUUGAUGCUCCAGGUCAUGCAGUGCAAGUUUCAAGCGACACCAUACCAGCCCCAGGAGAGGGGUGACCCAGAGUGGAGCUCUGAGACUGAUGCUCUUGUUGGGCACCGCCAGUCUCACUCCUGAAGAAUAUCGAGUGCUUUCUGCAACCAGAACCUCCAAGCCCAAUUGCUUUUAAUCUUCUUGUCUCUGUACAGCCCUGUUUAUAUUGGAAACCUCAGUUUUCCCUCCAGGAGGGAAACAUUCGAAUAGGCCACUUCUGCUUUUUCUCCUUAACUUUUUUGUACCAAAAUAAUAUAUUACUUUUCUUCAUCA